GGCGGCGUGCUUACACAUGCAGUCGAACGAAGCUCUUGCGACAGAUUCCUUCGGGAUGAAGAUGUAAGAUGACUUAGUGGCGGACGGGUGAGUAACGCGUGGAUAACCUGCCUCAUGCUGGGGGACAACAGCUGGAAACGGCUGCUAAUACCGGCAUAGACGCUAGGUGCCGCAUGGCACUAAGCGGAAAACUCCGGUGGCAUGAGAUGGAUCCGCGUCUGAUUAGCUAGUUGGCGGGGUAACGGCCCACCAAGGCGACGAUCAGUAGCCGACCUGAGAGGGUGAACGGCCACAUUGGGACUGAGACACGGCCCAGACUCCUACGGGAGGCAGCAGUAGGGAAUUCUUCGGCGAAUGGGCUGCAAGCCUGACCGUGCAACGCCGCCGGGUUUGAGUGAAUGCAAGGGUUUUCGGAUUCGUAACAGCUCUGUCUCGUAAGGGAAGAACAGUCGGGAUAGACUCCCGAUCCGACGGUACCUUACCAGAAAGCCACGGCUAACUACGUGCCAGCAGCCGCGGUAAUACGUAGGUGGCGAGCGUUAUCCGGAAUUAUUGGGCGUAAAGGGUGCGCAGGCGGCCUGUUAAGUUUAAGGUUAAAGCGUGGGGCUUAACCCCAUAAAGCCUUAGAUACUGGCAGGCUAGAGUACUGGAGAGGAAAGUGGAAUUCCAUGUGUAGCGGUAAAAUGCGUAGAUAUAUGGAGGAACACCAGUGGCGAAGGCGGCUUUCUAGACAGUAACCGACGCUCAGGCACGAAAGCGUGGGGAGCAAAUAGGAUUUAGAUACCCUAGUAGUCCACGCUGUAAACGAUGAAUGCUAAGUGUUGGGGUAACUCAGUGCUUGCAGUUAACUACAAUAAGCAUUCCGCCUGUUGGAGUAUGCACGCAAGUGUGAAACAUAAAGGAAUUGACGGGGGCCCGCACCAAGCGGUGGAGUAUGUGGUUUAAUUCGACGCAACGCGAAGAACCUUACCAGGCCUUGACAUCCCUUGSAAAACUGUAGAGAUACAGCAGAGGUUAUCAAGGUGACAGGUGGUGCAUGGUUGUCGUCAGCUCGUGUCGUGAGAUGUUGGGUUAAGUCCCGCAACGAGCGCAACCCUUGUCUUCAGUUACCAUCAUCAAGUUGGGGACUCUGGAGAGACUGCCGGUGAUAAACCGGAGGAAGGUGGGGAUGACGUCAAAUCAUCAUGCCCCUUAUGGCCUGGGCUACACACGUACUACAAUGGCGUAUACAACGAGCAGCGACACAGUGAUGUGAAGCAAAUCUCUUAAAGUACGUCUCAGUUCGGAUUGGAGUCUGCAACUCGACUCCAUGAAGUUGGAAUCGCUAGUAAUCGCGGAUCAGCAUGCCGCGGUGAAUACGUUCCCGGGCCUUGUACACACCGCCCGUCAUACCAUGAGAGCUGGCAAUACCCGAAGCCGGUGGCCUAACCGCAAGGAAGGAGCCGUCGAAGUAGG
rnacentral:rRNA from 1 species